CGGGGUGACGGAGAGAGGACGGUGCGCUGGGGCACCGGGAUCAGGGCUGAGAACUGGACGCCGCCCCGCCGUGCGCCCGCCCGCGCGGUUCGGAGCCCCACGGAGAGAGAAAACCCCUUUAUCACCCUCUUUUAAAGGAGUUUUCUAGAUAGAUUCUGUUAAACCUUAUGCAAAAAAGUAAAAAAAAAAAGAAGAAGAAGAAAGAAAAAGAAAAGAAAAAGAAAGAAACCAACAACCCUGUUUCUAAGAUUUUAAAGCGAUAGGCAAGUCGGAGAAGCUGAGAUUCGUUGGGGGAAAGCGAGAGAGUGCGCUGAGCGACCCCGCGUUUGGAAGACCAGCCCUCCCGCUGGGAAGUUGAGACUGUUGAUUCCUCCAAUUAAUGAAAUGCAUUUGGUGUUAAUCGUAUUUAUUUUACUUUAUGGGAGGGGGAGACGCUAGGAGGGUGCAUUAAAAAAAAAAAAAAAAAAGAUUCUGAAAAGCCUGCAAAGAGGAUCGAAGAGUGGAAACUAUUGUUGGACCGAGUUGGUUUUUGCCACAACAGCGCCACCUUUCGGCAAAGGUCAGUUGAAAUUGAUCCGUGUCCAGUUUUGUUGGUGAAGUGAGUGUGGAAGGAGGAAGGAGGCACAGAAAGUUAGUGGGACUGCAGUGGGAGACGCCGCCGACCCUGUAGGAAAGGGGCCCCAGAAAGUGCUGGCAGAUGCGGGAAUCAUUUCGUCCCCUCCUGGCCUCCUUGAGUGUUGACAAAAGAGGCCACAGGGGGACAUAGACACCCUCCGGGCAUAGUUCUGGCUGAGUGACCUUUGCAAAGCGUGAUCCCAUGUAACCACAGGGCCCCAAACCCUUUAAAAGUGCCAGGAUGGAUUUUCAGCGGGCUUUAUGGCAAUAUCAAUAGAAUUAAAGUUACUUGUAAUUCAGUGAUAAAUGAGAUGUCUCGAGUAAGUAAGAUUAAGUGCAGUGCUAUAAAGUUGUUUAUCUGAAAAGUAAUUCUCAGAAAACCUGACUUCUGACACUUAGUCAUAUAUUAAGCCAGCUUCCUGAACAUUGCACUUGAGAAUGGUCUUACCCUCCCCACAGCAUACUUUACUAUUUAUAACGAGACCUUAGGUGUCUCUCACUAGCUUCCUGCGCUAGAUCAGACCUGUGCUCUUUUCUCUGAUCCUGGCAGCAGCAAACCCAGGAAUCCUUAAUAAGAGACUCCCCAAAAGAUUUGCAGGCACAUCCUAAUCCUAAAAGACCAGCGCUGUUUGGUAUUUUACUGACAACACUUUUUUUUUUUUCAUCAUUACUGCUGAGAAGUUGUCUCUAAGGGUAGUUUUGGUUUUAUAGGAGCAUUUUGUUGAGGUGGAAUAGACUAUGUCUAUUACCAGUUUGGGGAAGAAAGAGUGAAGGUUGUGCCAAUAUUUAUGCAACCUGGUAGAAUUCCCUUGCUUUCUCCCUCUUUAACUAUAUUUUACCUAGCAAUGAAGUUGAGGGAUUACAGUUUAUGUAUUCGGAGGAAAAUCCACGGCUUAAAUUACAUAAACAUUAUGUCAUUUAGUAUUGUCCAUAGCCAUGGUUGUCUAGGUCUUUUUAAAAAAAUCAGUAGCCACAAAUGUCGGAAGUCUAUAUGUUUCAUGUAAAAUAUGAAUGUCAGUGUAUUUAGAAAGAAUUCUUUUUUUGUUGUUCAUGAUUCUUUUAAAAUCCUUUUGCAUCACAUUUUUGUUAAAAAGCUGUAAGGUAUGGUAGAUGCUUCCCCAAAAAAGUAUUUUUGGCCAGGAACACUGAAACUGCUACAUUUAUAAAUAUAUGCAAUAUUUUAUGAACAAAGUUCGCUAAUGACAAAGACCAUGGCAUAUAAAUUCAUGGCUGCAUACCUGAUCGUUGCAUUGUUAUAUAGCAUUUCUAGAAAUUAAAUGCCCAUGUUUGGGAAGCUAUAUGUAUGAUGAUCUGCACAUUUUUUAUGGCUUAUUUUUGUACACUGCUGUCAAGCCAUGAUAUUUUUCUUUCCCUUCUUGCAGAGUCGUUUAUAGUGUCCCCUUUUCUCUUGAAAAAAGAGGAUCAUAAUUAUUUUUUGGAUGUGUAGCAGCAGGGCUCACAGGCUUGUAAGUUCAUUCUCGUUUUUGUCCUUUUUACUUUAUUAUUUAGUGAUUCACAGGGGUGUCUAAACAUUUACAGUUCUCUGUUAGCGGCACUUCUUUUAUAACAAUUGAGCUCUCUCAUUUUAAUUAGUACUAUUCAGGUUUUUGAUUCUCUACAAUUACAGCGGGCCACAUUUCUUUAGACUUCUUUGCUAACAUUGUUUGUUUCACUUCCAUCCAAGCCAAUCUAAUCCAAAUACAAUGUGAACUGUGUUUUCUCAUUGCUUAAUAUCCCUUUGCCAUAUAUACUCUAGUAAUCUCUGUCAAACAAUAUACAGUAAUUUAGAAACCAUGCAUUUGUCAUUAUUGACCAAUUUGAGCCAGUAGCAUUAAAGUUUCUGGAAGCAAUGAAUAUUUACAGAUUUUUGAGGAGGAGUAGGCAUGGGUCGAAUCACGUAGAAUAUUGUGAAACACUCCCAUCAAAAACACGAUUUUAGUUUCAUGUCAGUGCAUACAUAACAUCUUCAUGCAAGAAAGAAAAACCAAACCCUUCUGUUCCUGACCAAAUGACAAAGACUAAAAGCUAAAAGGGAUAUAUUUUUCCUGAUUGUGAGUUAUAGUAACUCCAGUGUUUUAUGUUGGAAUCAGGCAUACAUAAUCCGAAUAGAAUGGGAUGUUUCAAGUAUAGUAUCUGAAGUCUGUUUAUCUAGGAGCUGAUUUUAUGAAGCAGAACUAACCAGUGUCCACUAAAUUUCACAAUGAAACCAACUAAAUUGAUUUGAGAAAGACUUCUUCAGAGUAACCGAAUGAUAAGGCACGCACUGUUCUUAGAUCUAGUGUUAGAGAAAUCCUUUUAACAGUCUUCAGUUAGCCGGGUAAGUAAAUCACAAAUCACUGUUAGCGGAUUCAGGGAAGAAAAUUAAUAGAAUCAGACGAGAUAAUCUGAUAAGGGUAAAAUUGCUGAGGAAACAGUCUUGCCUCAUAUUGGGGGAUGUGAAACAACAGUCUGAUUACUAGGAGUCUUUAUGAAUAGGUGAAUUAUGUGCUAAAUAAUCAUCAGAGUAAUUCAGCAUUUAUUAAUUCUUUUCUCUUUAAGCAAUUCACAGUUGUAAGUUAAAGCCGCCCUCUCUUUGAAGACACAUCUUUUAUAAUUUUUAUUAGAGGUAAUUUAUUAUUUGCAUUACCUGUAUUUACUUCAUAAUUGAACAUUUUGCAUUCAAAUUUAUGUAAUGCAUUAUGCUUGAGAAUAUAUUUCUGCCUGAUUAGCAUAAAUAGUCACUUACCUCAUGAAUUACUAACAAAGUUUAUCUUAAAAUAUAGGUUUUUUAUUAAGUGGAACACAAACAUAUGUACAAUAAAUUCUGAUUUUCCGGCGCAGUUAGAGAACAACUCACAUUUGGUUACGGGGACGCGAGGAGAAGAAGCAAAAUACACACAAAUGAAAUUUGUUAAGUUUCUUUCCAAGGGUAUCAUUCAGGUAGGGGUGUGUAGGGGUGGGGUAGGGGGAAAAGUAAAGGAGAAGGUGUCGUGCUUUUCAUAUACUGUUUGGAUUAUUUGUUGGAUGAUCUUGACAUGAAAUGUGGAUUGUGGAAAAACCUGUAAUUAGAGAGAUCUCUACCUUUGUAGAGGACCUGUGAUAGCAAGUAAAUACCAGUGACAGAGUUUGGGGGUACUGCUUGUUUGUAUUUUUAAUUUGUUUGUUUACUUGUUUUUUGUCUCUGCAGGGUUCUUCCUUAGAACACAAUACACAGCAUUUAAUGAAAUGCUUGUUUGUUUGGCAGGAGAGAUGUGAAAAACCCAGAUGUUCUCUGCAGUGAGAAUUCCGGGGGAGGUGUGGCUGUCUUCUUCCCCACAGCCAUCCCACAAAGACGGCCAGCAUGGCCUGGCAGACAGGCGAGGUUUAAAACAUAGUUUUGUGCACACACGAACGUUGGAGGGAAAGGACUUCUCUUGGUUUUAGGCAAUAGACAGAGAUAUAAGAAGAUGGGGCCUAUUUCCCUGGUCUUGCUAUUCCAAAUCAACAGAUUUCCAGGGUUUUCUUUCUUUCUUUUCUUUUUUUUUUUUUUUCUUCCCUCUUUCCUUUUUCAGAACAUAGAUUUUUCUUUUCCAUCAAUUAGGGAAUGCUUAGGAUUCGAUCUUCCCCUAUCAUCCCUUUUGAUCCUGUUCACAGCUUAUACCAGUGAGGGAAUUUGUCUCAAAAGCAUUCAGCCCUUCAAAGAUUUUUAUUGUGGUGAACGCAGAACUGAUUAAAAAAGAAGAACACACACACACAAAAAAACCCCUCAGGAAUAGAAAAGGAGACCUGCCUGAUAUCGGAACUAUCUUUAUCCAGGCUGUGUCUUUUGUGCAUGAUAACUCAGAGGACGGGCUGGUCGGCCGUGCCAGCCCUGGAAGGUUCUGUUCACCCUCCUUCCUAACCCUGAUGAUGGGUUGAUUCAUGGCUCCUGUUCCAAAGGCAUUUAGCAGCCGUUCGACCUGGGAAGGAAUUGCAGUUCUAGAAGGUAC